rnacentral:tRNA from 1 species
CCCUAGGUGGUGCAAACAGUUAACAUGUUUGGCUGCUAACCAAAAGUUUGGAGGUUCAAGUCUACCCAGAGGCA